AUGGUUUCCAGUUAAACAGGACAUUGUGCAAGAGUCAUAGACCUCUUAAUCCUCCAUCUUUAUAACUGGAUAUUUUGGCAUCACUAGGAUGUGACAGGCAGAGUCUACCCUGGACAAUGACACUGGGAAUGAAGCUGUUUUGAAUGCUGUCCAUAGGGAGUGAUGGAAAAUGCAGUCUUAAAAAAAGUGACUUUUAGGUUAGAUUUCCUCAGCAUUCUGUGUCCAACUGUUUGCUCAGUGAGAUAAGAAAAGUGCUAUAGCUGUGAGUAAAUACUCCAGGCUUUAAGGAAAUCCUGAAGACUUGUUGCAGAAUUACACAAUGGGGGAUUUGGGAACUGAGCACACUUCUGCCAGCACUGACCAGGAUCAGAGGUUAUCAGAGAUGAAGGAGAGGAUGCUCAGCAGUGAUAAAUGAACCUGGCACUUCUGACCCUGACCUCCUACCAGGAGUGGACAAGGAGGGUCCUGGAGCUCAGGGAGAAACAACGAUAACAAGUGAUGUGCCAGAAAAGGUCAUAGAAUAAGAAUGGAGACUCUCGCUUGU
rnacentral:lncRNA from 1 species